AGCAUGCACAUCUCUGAAAGCCAACAAGAAUUCUUCAGAAUGCUUGAUGAAAAAAUUGAAAAGGGUCGUGAUUAUUGUUCAGAAGAGGAGGACGUCACAUAGUGCCAAUUCUGCCGCUCGCCCCAGGAGUUACUACUGUGUAAAUAGAUUACAACCCAGUCGAGACCUUUUGGAAGUCUUCUAGAGCGAACAGCACUACAUACCAGAAGAAGCUCAUGUCCACAUUAUAUGCUCCAUUCAGUUACAGUGUUUCUUAACGAACAGAUGAGGAAUAUCGCUAAGAACUCAUAAGGAACUGUUUUUGUUGCUGCUAGUUAAAACUUGUUGCAACUUCUCACUUUUUUCUGUGUCCAGAUACGCAGCAAAUCCUUAAAGUUUAAUCCAAAAGACGUUGUUGGUUUUAUUGAGGCUUCUGGCCUGUUUUCUAUCAGAUGAGGUAGUGUUACACAAAGCUUCCAUAAGUGAACAUUCAAGCAUCUACGAAACACCCUUAAGCUGUCUGUCAGUCCGCGUUGGGGCCGGAGUGCUUAUUAAUGCUGGUGAUUUCACGCUUUGGAGACGGGAUGUUUUUGCCAUGGCAAGCCUUGUUUCUCUGCUGAGAAGAAGCUGAGAAACUAUUAUCCAUUAAAAGCAUGUUAUCACUGAAAUACUGGAAGUGAUGCAGGAGCAGGAAUUUGUAUUUUAAAGAGGAAAAAGAGUUUCAUUUAAUAGGUAUCUUAAUCGAGGACUAAGCUUGCAGUAUUGGCUUUGCUGAGCACGAAUGGGAGUGUGAUCACAAUCAUUUUGAAUCUCUUUUUUUCUAAGAAAAUAAACAUUUUACUGUUUUUAUGUA